rnacentral:rRNA from 1 species
AUGGAGGAGCUGCUGGGCACGGAGAUCGGGAAGCACGACUACGACUGGCUUCUUACUCCCCCGGGAACACCCCGUGCUCCUGCACUGGAGGUUGCUGAGAAAGCCCCACCAUCAAAUGUGCCUAAACGGACCGUCACUAGAUCUUCCUCAACCACCAGAGCAUCAAGGCUUUCUGUUGAUGAAACAGAGAAUGGGCAUUCAGCAGCUCCCAAUAGACCAGUGCGAAGCAUGUCCCGACCUUCAAACAGGUCAUCAGUGCUCACUCCAAGCAUUUCUUCUGUCAGUUCGAGACCUACUACCCCGACCAAGAGGACUAGCACUCUUCCCUCUUCAAUGCCAUCAGCUCCAGCUUCACGUCCAGUGGCAGCACGAUCAUCUACUCCGGUCAAAACCCGUCCACCUACCCCGGUCAAAACUCGUCCAUCUACUCCAGUCAAAAACUGUCCUUAUGGUUCCGGCUCCAUGGCCAACUCAACCUCUGUGAAGAGCACAUCUGCGCAGAACUCAAGGUCAUCAACUCCAACCUCUCGACCCCGAAGCAUUUCCAGCUCAUCAUCAAGCACGGCUCCUUCAGUGAGUCGUCCCAGUUCAUCCUCUGGUAGAAUUCCUGCAAUUGUUCGUACCAGCUCUUCCUCAAGUACAGCUUCAGUGACCCGUUCUAGCUCUCGAUCGUCUACACCUACACGCCAGCCUGUCAUGCGUCCAUCAGCUCCAUCCAUAGCUCGCUCACCUUCAGUUGGGAGGAUUUCUGGUAGCAAUAACUUAACAUCUAGUGGACGAUCAGCAGCCAGCCGUGGUCGAAUGUCAGCACCUUCCUCAGCACCAUCAUCCCGUCCAAGUUCCCCAAAUACACGUCCGCGAGCUCCAGUUAGGCCACUAGAUAUUCCAGAUUUUCCAAGUGACACUCCUCCUAACCUAAGGACAAAGCUACCAGAAAGGCCACUCUCUGCUGGUAGAGCACGGCCAGGAAUUGGUUUGGGAACCAGGUCAACCCUGAAUGCUGAACCAGUUACCUCAGCUCCUGUGAAGAAGAUAUCUGUGCCUGCUAUUACUCGAAAUAAGUUUUCUGAUGCACCAUCCAAGACACCUUCUCUUACCAAUGGACACCAGAAUCGACAAACGGAGAGAUCUGUUAUGGACAGUCAGCCUGCUAGACCCUCUCGGUCUGCCACAAGUGAAGAAAAUGGAUUUGGCAGGACGAUAUCAAGGAAGUCACUUGACAUGGCAAUCAGGCACAUGGACAUUCGACAUAACCUGGGUGGCAUCCGAGGUGCAUCUCUAUUUCCUCAUAGCAUCCGGUCUUCUGCUCCCAAGGGCCGUUCAGCUCGAAUGUCCGAUCCUGGCCAUCACACCUCAAAUGGCGAGCAGGACGCAUACACCGACAGUGGCAGCAUCAACGGGCACUUCUCCGGCGAUUCCAUUGGAGCCCUUUCACACUAUGGUGGGAGCUCAACUGAGUCCCCAGACAGAGAAAGCAUGGGAACUAAAGAGACGCUGAGCGAACUGGAUAUGUAUGGCAGCUCAAGGUAUGAGGAGAUGCUACUAAGGGAGGACACGAAGAACACGGACUGGCUGCACAGCGUCGACGACAAGUCGGACCAGAGCCCCGUGUUCGAUCACCGGUUCGAGCCGCUCCCAGAGCCGUUUGGUCCGCUGUGA